GGUGCCGGUGCCGGUGCCGGUGUCGGUGUCAUUGUGGGUGUUGGUGCCGCCUCACUGCGCGUUCCGGCGCGCCCUGAUCCGGCGGGGCUCCCUCGCUGCGCCCUCGGACGCGCGGGGAGGGGAGCUGCCGCCGUGAGGGGACGGAGGCGCCUUCCCGCUCCUUUCCUUUCGGUGCCUCCGCCUGUGGUCUGGAGUGGCCGCGGGACCCGCAGCCACCACCUGCACAGUUUGAAUUCUCUCCCACCGCUUCCUCUGUGUCCCCUUUCCCAUCCGUGGAGUGUUCCAGCUGGCGCCUAAAUAAGGAACCAAGCCCUGGUUUUGGCCUAGGGUUGAUGCUAAGCAAACAGGAUGUUGCAUAUUUUUCGUGUUCUGGAAAACUUUUCCAGAUUAUUUGGAGUACUUGAUCGGAAAGCGACUACACAGACAUCACAUAUGACUGCUUGGGGCUGAACCAAGAUCUGCUACCUCAGCCCUGUAUCUGUAAACUGCAGCUGCCACCUUAGAAGUCAUGCAUUCUUGUAUUCCUCUUCUUAAGUAUUUUUCCUAUGGUUUGUAUAAUUUUCCAUUAAGGUAAAGUACAUGGGUUUUAACCAUAUUACUACUCUUCUCAUUAGUACUUUAUGAAUUAUGUAGUAGAUGCCUGACAAAAUGAUCAUAAAAGGCAAAGCAAGUAGAAAAUCACUUGUUAGUAAGAAAUUUAAAAAAGAAAAGAGAAAAACUAACAUCUGGUCAGCUAGGCAAGGAAAUAACUGGCCUUCUGUUAGAAGGUAAAUUGAACUUUCCCAGAGUGGUUACAAUACAAAGAACUGACAAUUUGGUUAAUAUUUAAUAACAGCUUGUCCUUAGGUAUAGUCUUAUUUUGUCCCAUCUGCUGCUUGUCAGCUAUAAUAAUAUCAAACAAGAAAUGUAACACAUCUCUCUGAUUUGCAGUUCUUAUGCUUUCCGUGUAGUAUAAGAAUACAAAUGCAUUCACUGAACUUACUUAUUCCUUGAUUCUUCCAGCUGGUAUAUUUAUAUAGUGCGGUGUGCCAGUUCUGCUCCUUGGUGAGUGAUGAAAACUUGUCAGGUGUUUUCUUCUGUCCACCACUCUGUUUAUUGACUAGAACACUGCUUCUUGUUCCUGUGAUCUCAUGUACUGAGAGGCUUUAGCUCGUGUGUUAAUAUGAGCUACACCAGCUCAGCAGUGAGUGCCAUAGCUGGCUAACAAUUAGCUUGCUCAAGAAGGACAGAUUGUCAGAAAGGCAGAGCAAUAAAUGUCCAGUGAAAUCAUCUCAGUCUUGUAUAUUGGGCAGACUUCCAGCUGCUUGAAAAAACGCAGUGUGUGUGUUAAUUCAGCUAUUAACUUAAACUGGAAUCAUUAGCUUCUAACACGAAAACUUGGCUGCCUUUUGUAUUAGUCAAGUAUAAAUUCAAUGGAGGAUUAAUAAUGAGUGAGAAUAUGAUCUCAUUACAUACAUGUGAAACAUUUACUUCACAGAUUUAAAAUUCUGAGUAUUUUCUUUAGUUUUUAUAAAACCCAUAUUAUUUUCAUGUAAAAAUCCCACAAAAUGAUAGACAGUCAUCUCACUGCAAGCUAUUUUCCAAAAGCAAAUACAGAUUUUGAUAAUGCUCCACUACUAAGUCAAUAUGAGAGAAAAAUAUCAAGUGCAUUAAACAAAAUCACAGCAGAUAUUAUGUAAGAUGGUUGUCAUGGACACACUUGACCCUCACCCAUGUGUUUGCUCAGGUUGACUAAGGAGCAACAGGCCUCUGUUGUGGUGUGUUUUGUUUUGUGGAGAGUUUAGGUUUGCCCCCUAUUCUUCUCCUUAAUCUUCUCCCCUCCCCAGCUGUCAAUCUUCCCAAGCUCUUCCCUAACCUCCUCCCCUCCAAGUUGUCAAUCCUCUCUUUCCCUGCCCCUUUCCCCAGAACAUUCCUUGUCACUCCUUCUAGUCCCCUCCCCUUCUUCCAGAGUGUUCCCUGUCCAUUUAGUUAUACUCAACACCCUAUUUGUUACUUUGUGUUAUUCCACUCCCUUAUUUCCCCUGAUAGGUUUGUGAUAUGUUAGUCCCACCUCAGACCCCUCCCCAGUUCUACCUUCAUUGGUUAUUGCUCCUACACCCCUCCUCCUGAGUUAUGUAUAAAAUCUUCUGUUUGCCCUCCCCAGCUGGUCUUGGUUCUCCAUUUUCUCCACCUAAUAAGCCCACUCUGGAACACCCCGAGCCCCAUGUCGUCGUUAUCCGUCCUCGUGCUGGACCAGCAGUUACUGGGAAUUGCAAAGCUCGCAGGGGGACGGUUGCAUCCCAGCCACAGCCGCCCAGCACGCCGUGCACGGUACACGCUGCAACAGGCUUCAUGCCCUGUGGUGAACUGUAUCUGUGCACUGUGGUCACGGGGAAGAUGUUCCCCAGUCCCUGAGGCUGGUGUGCAGUCACGGGAGUGAUCUUCACACUGAGUGACACACUGGAACUUCACUGAGUUCCCCCAGCUGGCGGUGUGUACAGGGGCUCGCAGGUCCCUGCAGCAGACAGCUGUGGCGUGGGCAACAGAGCAGGAGCACAGUACAAGAAACCAGGCAAAGGAAUAGAGAGGGGUCACUUGUUUUGAGUUCCAAGGAAGUUUUAUUCCAUAGAGGAUUCAGGGACAAAUGAUGAAAACUGGGGGCAAAAGGCUGCUUUUAAGGAGAGACAGGAAUAAGGGCAGGACACAGCCUUUCACCAACAGGAAAGCAUUAGGGGAGGAGUGCAAGGUAAGGGCUAUCCAAUAGAAGCCACCAAGGGGAAGGAGCAAGCCCUGCACCCCAAUCUUGUUUCGAGGAAGGGAUGAAGGACAGGGAACAUUCCAGGAGGGAACAAAGGCGCUACAAUAAGAUUUACAGGUGUGUGGUGGGAGAAUCUUGAGGUAAACAACUCAGGACUGAACAAUCAGGAAGCCAAAUGGAGUACAUGGAACGAACCAUUACAAACUUAUAACAAGGAAUAUUUAAAACUUACUA